GUAGGUGGCAAGCGUUAUCCGGAUUUAUUGGGCGUAAAGCGAGCGCAGGCGGUUUGAUAAGUCUGAUGUGAAAGCCUUUGGCUUAACCAAAGAAGUGCAUCGGAAACUGUCAGACUUGAGUGCAGAAGAGGACAGUGGAACUCCAUGUGUAGCGGUGGAAUGCGUAGAUAUAUGGAAGAACACCAGUGGCGAAGGCGGCUGUCUGGUCUGCAACUGACGCUGAGGCUCGAAAGCAUGGGUAGCGAACAGGAUUAGAUACCCUGGUAGUCCAUGCCGUAAACGAUGAGUGCUAGGUGUUGGAGGGUUUCCGCCCUUCAGUGCCGCAGCUAACGCAUUAAGCACUCCGCCUGGGGAGUACGACCGCAAGGUUG
rnacentral:rRNA from 1 species